UAGUGUUUAUAAUAUAAAAAAAAUAAUAAAAAAUAAAAUCAAUUUUUAUUAAUAUAUAUACACACACAGAGACACAAAAAAUUAAAUAUAACAAUGAAUCGUUUUGUUGUAGUUUUUAUGGUUUCAAUGUUUAGUGUUGUUAUCAUUGCUUUUCUAUCAAGCACAGUUGAUGCUGAACCUAUACCUAAAGCUAAACCAUUUGAUUUUAAUGGUCCGGAUGUAUAAAUACUAACAACUAAUUAACAACUAUUAAAAAACAACAACAAAAACAAAACUAUUGUUUGUUUUUUUAGAUAACUUUUAUAUAAUAUAAUAAAAUGUUG